rnacentral:misc_RNA from 1 species
GAAAUGCGAUACGUAGUGUGAAUUGCAGAAAACCGUGAACCAUCGAAUCUUUGAACGCAUAUUGCGCCCGCGGCUUCGGCCAAGGGCAUGUCUGCCUCAGCGUCGGGUUAAUACUCGUCCCACAUUCCCCUCUUCUCUGAGAGGGUGAGUGCUCUGGGACGGAUCUGGCCGUCUCAACCCAUUCACCUGGGUUGGGUUGGCUGAAGUGCAGAGGCUUGAUCAAGGACCCGUCAAGGGCCGCAGCUGGUUAGGCAGUGAUGCUAAUACGAUUAGCUGUUGGUCUGGGUCCCGACCGAGCCCUCAACAAGGAAACUCAUUAACUUAUUUCCUCGACCUGAGCUCAGGCAAGAUUACCCGCUGAACUUAA